AUGUUUGUUCUUUUCCUUCCUUUUUCUAUCCUUCUUCCUUUCUUUUUUCUUUCCUUCCCUUUUUCAUCCUUCCUCAUUCCUCCCUGUUUCCUUCUAUCCUUCCUUCCUCCUCCUUUCCUCUCUCCUUUCUUUCUUCUUCCUCCCUUCCUUCCUCCUCCUUUCCUCUCUCCUUUCUUUCUUCUUCCUCCCUUCCUUCCUCCUCCCUUCCUUUCUCUCUUCUUUCUUGCUUUUUCCCUCCCUCCUUCCUUAUUCUUUCCUUAAUUCCUCCUUCUUUUUAUCCUUCUUCCUUCCUCCUCUAUCUUUUCUCUCUUCUUUCUUUCUUACUCCCUCUUUUUCCUUCUUUCCUCCCUUCUUUCCUCACUCUUCUUUCCUUCCUCCCUUCUUCCUUUCUUCCUCUAUCCCUUUUUUUUCUUCCUUUCUCUUUUAAGGGGUUGGAAUCCUCAACACCACAUACAGAGUAGGCGCCUGUGAUGUUCACAUUCGAUUGUGCUCACUUUAGCAGCAGCCUUUAAGGUAGACACUGUGGGUGCUUCCCCAGGCUGCAGCACGUGAAGCAACAUUUGAAUUGCCUAUAAAACCUCUAACAUUCUGACAAGCAGUAACUAAGGCAGAGUCAGCAAGGCUUUGUCCCAGGGACCUAAAACCUAGAGGAGGCUGAUAGGGGAGGGAAAGGCAGAAACAAGCAUCUAUUAAAUGCCUACUGUAUGCCAGAUAUUGUGCGAAGCACUUUCUGAAAAUUAUUUCCUCUUACAGCCUUUCAGCCACUAGAAACAAUUGAACUUAGCACCUAGCUAGUAAGAAUAACUUGUGAAAAUAGGAAAUUCCAAAUGCUUCCAGCCAGAGGCAGCCAUAUCCCAAGUGAGGUCUUCCAUGGCAUGGCCCAAUGCAGACCCCACCCUUCAUUGCUGUCCCGAGCAUAAAAAAUUGCUAGUUACAGCUCUGCUGAUAAGGUUAAGAGAUUGAAUAUAUAUGAGUCAUGCAUAGUGAAUUUAAGUAAAAAUAUACCUUAAUAGCAAAAUAGACAUUUACUGCAUAGUGCAUUAAGUCACUGUCUACAUCAAUUUUUCCUGCUCCAUGUUCUAGUGAAUAGCAUUGUAGCUAUCCAGAGCUAAACAUACAAUCUGCCAUGACCACAGCCACAUUCAUCUCUGCUAAGCUGGAAAGAGCAGGGUGUUUCACUGAGGGCUGAGGCAGGGAUACACCGUCAUUCAUUUCUCUGUCCUUUAUCCUGCCAAUGCUAACAAAAGAAUACCCAGAUUAG
rnacentral:lncRNA from 1 species